rnacentral:rRNA from 1 species
UACGGAGGGAGCUAGCGUUGUUCGGAAUUACUGGGCGUAAAGCGCACGUAGGCGGCUACUCAAGUCGGGGGUGAAAGCCCGGGGCUCAACCCCGGAACUGCCCUCGAAACUAGGUAGCUAGAAUCUUGGAGAGGCGAGUGGAAUUCCGAGUGUAGAGGUGAAAUUCGUAGAUAUUCGGAAGAACACCAGUGGCGAAGGCGGCUCACUGGACUGGUAUUGACGCUGAUGUGCGAAAGCGUGGGGAGCAAACAGG